GAGGCAGGCCUCCUCGAGAAACCCUGGCUAUAAAAGCAAACAUUUCACCAUCCAUGUCAAACGAAAAGAAGUUGGCCUUCAUGGUUGUAUGAUUAUCCGCCGGCAGAGACUUAGCUGAGAACUGCUUGGUCUUGAAAGAUUUAUUUUCGUUCUAGCAGCAUUUGCUCUUUAUUCAUUCUCAACAAUGUAUGAUCAGAUCUAUAUGACCACUCAUUUUACACUUCAAGGAAGACUUUGUUGCAAGUCAAGCCUGUGUAUCAACCAUCAGUAACAAAGGUUUGGUUAUGGUUGUGGUUAUGGUUACAUCUUCCAAACAUUUUAUUGUGUGGGUAAGGGGGAGGAAAUGCUUGAAUGCUAAAUAUUUUCUUCAUUUCUUUUUUUUUCUUUUUUGGCUAUCUAUGACCGAACAGAAUUUGUACAACUAUGACUUUCCCAAUGGUCGGAUGCCACUUCAAGAUGUUAUAGUUGAGGGAAUGGCAAGAUCUGGAAUAUAAAGAAACAAGGUCAGUGGCCAAAGACAUUGCUGGGAGGUGGAUCAGAACCAACCAUGCCUACAAGAAAAAAGGGAAAAUGGACAAAAAAUAUGGUGGAAAAGUGUGGGGAAUUCGGAGUUGUGGAUACUGACUGGUUCUGGCUGUUCAAAGGGAGUUGUUUUGAAAGGCCUUGAGACCAGAAGAUAGAUUUUGCUAACGCCUUCACUACUAGACCGUCA